rnacentral:rRNA from 1 species
UACGUAGGGGGCGACCGUUAUCCGGAAUUACUGGGCGUAAAGCGCAUGCAGGCGGUCCCUUAAGUUCCUGAUGACAGAUAUCGGCUUAACCGGUAAGUAUUGGGAAAACUGAGAGACUUGAGAGCGAGAGAGGGACAUGGAACUCCGAGUGAAGCAGUGAAAUGCGUAGAUAUUCGGAAGAACACCAAAGGCGAAGGCAGUGUCCUGGCUCGUUUCUGACGCUCAAGUGCGAAAGCCAGGGGAGC